rnacentral:rRNA from 1 species
UACGUAGGGUGCAAGCGUUUAAUCGGAAUACUGGGCGUAAAGCGUGCGCAGGCGGUUAUGUAAGACAGAUGUGAAAUGCCCGGGCUCAACCUGGGAACUGCAUUCGUGACUGCAUGGCUAGAGUUUGGCAGAGGGGGGGUAGAAUUCCACGUGUAGCAGUGAAAUGCGUAGAGAUGUGGAGGAAUACCGAUGGCGAAGGCAGCCCCCUGGGAUGACACUGACGCUCAUGCACGAAAGCGUGGGGAGCAAACAAGG